UGAUCCUGGCUCAGAUUGAACGCUGGCGGCAUGCCUUACACAUGCAAGUCGAACGGCAGCACGGGAGCAAUCCUGGUGGCGAGUGGCGAACGGGUGAGUAAUACAUCGGAACGUGUCCUGUAGUGGGGGAUAGCCCGGCGAAAGCCGGAUUUAAACCGCAAUACGUUCUACGGAGGAAAGGGGGGGAUCUUAGGACCUCUCGCUACAGGGGCGGCCGAUGGCGGAUUAGCUAGUUGGUGGGGUAAAGGCCUACCAAGGCGACGAUCCGUAGCUGGUCUGAGAGGACGACCAGCCACACUGGGACUGAGACACGGCCCAGACUCCUACGGGAGGCAGCAGUGGGGAAUUUUGGACAAUGGGGGCAACCCUGAUCCAGCAAUGCCGCGUGUGUGAAGAAGGCCUUCGGGUUGUAAAGCACUUUUGUCCGGAAAGAAAUCUUAUGGGCUAAUACCCUGUAGGGAUGACGGUACCGGAAGAAUAAGCACCGGC
rnacentral:rRNA from 1 species